rnacentral:rRNA from 1 species
GACGAACGCUGGCGGCGUGCUUAACACAUGCAAGUCGAACGGUGAAGCGCCUUCCUUUUUGGUGGGUGUGGAUGAGUGGCGAACGGGUGAGUAACACGUGAGUAACCUGCCCCCUUCUUCUGGAUAACCGCAUGAAAGUGUGGCUAAUACGGGAUAUUCUGGGUCUGUCGCAUGAUGGGUCUGGGAAAGAUAUUGUUUCGGUGGGGGAUGGGCUCGCGGCCUGUCAGCUUGUUGGUGGGGUGAUGGCUUACCAAGGCGGUGACGGGUAGCCGGCCUGAGAGGGUGGACGGUCACACUGGGGAUGAGACACGGCCCAGACUCCUACAGGAGGCAGCAGUGGGGAAUAGUGCACAAUGGGCGCAAGCCUGAUGCAGCGACGCCGCGUGAGGGAUGGAGGCCUUCGGGUUGUGAACCUCUUUCGCCAGUGAAGCAGGCCUGCCUCGUUUGUGGGUGGGUUGACGGUAGCUGGAUAAGAAGCGCCGGCUAACUACGUG